CUACGGGCGGCUCCAGUGAGGAAUAUUGCACAAUGGGGGGAACCCUGAUGCAGCAACGCCGCGUGGAGGAUGACGCAUUUCGGUGUGUAAACUCCUUUUAUAUGUCAAGAAAAUGACGGUAGCAUAUGAAUAAGCACCGGCUAACUCCGUGCCAGCAGCCGCGGUAAUACGGAGGGUGCAAGCGUUACUCGGAAUCACUGGGCGUAAAGGACGCGUAGGCGGGUUGGAAAGUCAGGUGUGAAAUCCUACAGCUUAACUGUAGGACUGCACUUGAAACUUCUAAUCUAGAGUAUGGGAGGGGGAGGUGGAAUUAGUGGUGUAGGGGUAAAAUCCGUAGAUAUCACUAGGAAUACCUAAAGCGAAGGCGAUCUCCUGGAACAUUACUGACGCUAAGGCGUGAAAGCGUGGGGAGCAAACAGGAUUAGAUACCCGAGUAGUC
rnacentral:rRNA from 1 species